GAUGAGGUUGAAUUAUAUGAAUGGGUAGAACAACACAACCAUGGGUUUACGUCUCCUGAAAAUCUUGAUUUAUCGCUAAAGAAGAGGAAGCUUCGUAAUGCUAACAUUGGUCCCACGAAAUCCCACAAACUUCAGGUGGUCAUCAUAACGUACAGGGCACGGUUAUGGGCUAUAAAAAUUGUGGGAGAGAUAUUCGAGAUUUCAUCGGCGAAAGAGACGCCCAAAUGUUAGUUGACAAAAUGAACGCAAGAUGCAAGAACAAAGAAAAUUAUACUUUUGAUACCCAGAUUGUUGAUACAGAACUCCAGUUGCUAUUUUGGUGUGAUAAUGUUUCGAAAAUGAAUUACGAAGCAUUUGGGGAUGUUUUGGCUUUUGAUGCAACGUACCACACGAAUAUGUACGACAUGAUUUUUGUUCCAUUCACUAGCGUUGAUCAUCACAAAAAAUGCACGAUAUUUGGUGUUGGCUUGCUUCAUAACGAGACAAUCGAGUCAUACACAUGGCUUCUACAAAAAUUUCUUCAAGCUCAUAACGACAGACAACCUCUUUUGGUUCUAACCGAUCAAGAUUGUGCCAUGAAACAAGCAGUUAGCAACUUAUUCGACAAGUCGCAUCAUCGACUAUGUAUGUGGCAUAUAGUUCAAAAGAUACCAUCUAAGAUCAAGGGAGACAACUUGACAAAUAUCGAAAUAAAAGAGAAGUUUCACAAGCUUGUUUGGAACGCCUAUAUCAAACCUGAAACAUUUGAGAAAAGGUGGAAUUUAUUGAUCGCCGAAUAUGGGUUAGAGUCCCAUAAAUGGUUGACAGAGAUGUUUUCAAUUCGGGAGCAAUGGAUUCCAGGAUACUUUCGCGAAAUACCCAUGUGCACUUUAAUGAAAACGAUAUCCAGAUGCGAAAGUGCAAACCGUAUGUUUAAAGCUGACUCGAGCGCCCAUAAUACAUUAGU
rnacentral:lncRNA from 1 species